CCUACGGGGGGCUGCAGUGAGGAAUAUUGGUCAAUGGACGCAAGUCUGAACCAGCCAUUUCGCGUGCAGGAAGACUGCCCUAUGGGUUGUAAACUGCUUUUUUAUGGGAAGAAAGUUAGAUAUUGAUAUCUAUUUGCCUGUACCAUAAGAAUAAGGAUCGGCUAACUCCGUGCCAGCAGCCGCGGUAAUACGGAGGAUCCGAGCGUUAUCCGGAUUUAUUGGGUUUAAAGGGUGCGUAGGCGGACUGAUAAGUCGGCGGUGAAAUUCUUAAGCUUAACUUAAGGCUUGCCGUUGAUACUGUUUGUCUUGAGUUUAGUUGAGGUAGGCGGAAUGUGGUGUGUAGCGGUGAAAUGCUUAGAUAUACCACAGAACACCGAUUGCGUAGGCAGCUUACUAAACUAUCACUGACGCUGAUGCACGAAAGCGUGGGGAUCAAACAGGAUUAGAUACCCUGGUAGUC
rnacentral:rRNA from 1 species